rnacentral:rRNA from 1 species
CAAUAGCAACCGCAUGGUUGCUACUUAAAAGAUGGUUCUGCUAUCACUAAGAGAUGGUCCCGCGGUGCAUUAGUUAGUUGGUGAGGUAAUGGCUCACCAAGACGAUGAUGCAUAGCCGAGUUGAGAGACUGAUCGGCCACAAUGGGACUGAGACACGGCCCAUACUCCUACGGGAGGCAGCAGUAGGGAAUCUUCCACAAUGGGCGAAAGCCUGAUGGAGCAACGCCGCGUGUGUGAUGAAGGGUUUCGGCUCGUAAAACACUGUUGUAAGAGAAGAAUGACAUUGAGAGUAACUGUUCAAUGUGUGACGGUAUCUUACCAGAAAGGAACGGCUAAAUACGUGCCAGCAGCCGCGGUAAUACGUAUGUUCCAAGCGUUAUCCGGAUUUAUUGGGCGUAAAGCGAGCGCAGACGGUUAUUUAAGUCUGAAGUGAAAGCCCUCAGCUCAACUGAGGAAUUGCUUUGGAAACUGGAUGACUUGAGUGCAGUAGAGGAAAGUGGAACUCCAUGUGUAGCGGUGAAAUGCGUAGAUAUAUGGAAGAACACCAGUGGCGAAGGCGGCUUUCUGGACUGUAACUGACGUUGAGGCUCGAAAGUGUGGGUAGCAAACAGGAUUAGAUACCCUGGUAGUCCACACCGUAAACGAUGAGUGCUAGGUGUUUGAGGGUUUCCGCCCUUAAGUGCCGCAGCUAACGCAUUAAGCACUCCGCCUGGGGAGUACGACCGCAAGGUUGAAACUCAAAGGAAUUGACGGGGACC